rnacentral:rRNA from 1 species
CAUGCAAGUCGAACGGAGCUAGAUAGCUUGCUAUCGAUGCUUAGUGGCGAACGGGUGAGUAACGCGUGAGCAACCUGCCCUUCAGAGGGGGGACAACAGUUGGAAACGACUGCUAAUACCGCAUGAUGUACGGAGGAGGCAUCUUCUCCGUAUCAAAGAUUUAUCGCUGAAGGAUGGGCUCGCGUCUGAUUAGAUAGUUGGUGAGGUAACGGCUCACCAAGUCGACGAUCAGUAGCCGGACUGAGAGGUUGAACGGCCACAUUGGGACUGAGAUACGGCCCAGACUCCUACGGGAGGCAGCAGUGGGGAAUAUUGGGCAAUGGGGGCAACCCUGACCCAGCAACGCCGCGUGAAGGAAGAAGGCUUUCGGGUUGUAAACUUCUUUUAUCAGGGACGAUAAUGACGGUACCUGAUGAAUAAGCCACGGCUAACUACGUG